GGAGAAUGUUCAGGACUGUGGAGGCGCGCUCCGCACCUGGCCUGAAAGCGGGAGAUUUGGCAACCAGUGCGCGUGGGUGCGCCGGCCCUUGCCGCUGGGGACUCUGGAGGCAGACCUUGCCCAAAGCCAGAGGCGGGAACUCCCCAGAUCCUCCCAGGAGACCAACAAUUGUCAGCACAGCAAAACUGGGCAUUUCUUUUCUUACUGAGCUUUGCAGCUACCUACACAGUUGUGUGUGGCAUCUCCUCCUGGGCGCAAGGACAUGAGAUGA
rnacentral:lncRNA from 1 species